AGAGUUUGAUCCUGGCUCAGGAUGAACGCUGGCGGCGUGCCUAACACAUGCAAGUUGAGCGAUUUACUUCGGUAAAGAGCGGCGGACGGGUGAGUAACGCGUGGGUAACCUACCCUGUACACACGGAUAACAUACCGAAAGGUAUGCUAAUACGGGAUAAUAUAUUUGAGAGGCAUCUCUUGAAUAUCAAAGGUGAGCCAGUACAGGAUGGACCCGCGUCUGAUUAGCUAGUUGGUAAGGUAACGGCUUACCAAGGCGACGAUCAGUAGCCGACCUGAGAGGGUGAUCGGCCACAUUGGAACUGAGACACGGUCCAAACUCCUACGGGAGGCAGCAGUGGGGAAUAUUGCACAAUGGGCGAAAGCCUGAUGCAGCAACGCCGCGUGAGUGAUGAAGGCCUUCGGGUCGUAAAACUCUGUCCUCAAGGAAGAUAAUGACGGUACUUGAGGAGGAAGCCCCGGCUAACUACGUGCCAGCAGCCGCGGUAAUACGUAGGGGGCUAGCGUUAUCCGGAUUUACUGGGCGUAAAGGGUGCGUAGGCGGUCUUUCAAGUCAGGAGUGAAAGGCUACGGCUCAACCGUAGUAAGCUCUUGAAACUGGGAGACUUGAGUGCAGGAGAGGAGAGUGGAAUUCCUAGUGUAGCGGUGAAAUGCGUAGAUAUUAGGAGGAACACCAGUUGCGAAGGCGGCUCUCUGGACUGUAACUGACGCUGAGGCACGAAAGCGUGGGGAGCAAACAGGAUUAGAUACCCUGGUAGUCCACGCUGUAAACGAUGAGUACUAGGUGUCGGGGGUUACCCC
rnacentral:rRNA from 2 species